rnacentral:lncRNA from 1 species
GGAAGAUGGAAGCUGAGGAAUGAUGAAGACAAUGGAAUCAAAGGCAAUUGAUCCCGCCACAUUCGAAGAACCACAAAAGGAGGCUGAGUGAGCUGAAAGAAAUACACAAGUGGAUCAGCAACAUGACAGCUGCUGCAGUGAAAUCUGGAUUGUAAUAUGUCAGUUUCCAACCCAUCACAUAUAAUCCAGACAGAGACAUAGAUUUUGUCUGCCUCGUUAUGAUUUCCCUGUCUGGUGCGGUUUGGGUCACAUCUGUUGGCUGCAUUCUCAUCUUCAUGAGAUCUGCAUUGACUGAUAGUUUAAACCCCAUGUUUAUCUAUGUCUGCGGCUCUUAUUUCUCUCACAGGGAAGUCUCCAGAGAAGCCCAGUAUCCCCUGAUGUGAGAGUCUUGCUUGGUUUUAUUAAUCAACAGCCAGUGCCCACAUUCAGGCAGUUCUGUAUGUUUCAUGC